CCCAUCUAGGUGCUCUCUCUCUGAUUGACUGGAGGUGUGGGUUCGGUCUGGGGUGUGUCGGCUGCUGAUUAGUCCAACAAUCAUCUCUGCAGUUUAAAAUGCUCAGACAGCACUUCAGUGGUAGGAGUGAACUGCCCUCGUCACACUAAUAACAAGGCCUACUGGUGAAAGACUCUUUUCAACUGUCAGUUGGAUAAAAAGUGUCAUCAGGGCAUCACAUCAGACUGAACUCUUUGUCUGCUCACCUUUGAAAGGGACUAUGAAGUCAUUUCAGUGUUCAACACCAAGCCAUGUCGUCUCCUGCUGGAAUCAUCAAAAGUAAGCCAAUUUACAAUUAUGGGCUAAUGGCCUUUUUCAUUAUUAUUGUAAAUUAGUUUAUGUUCGGUGUACAAACUGGAUUUCAUGCUGAUGUUGCUGCCAGCUGUGUGUAUGAAUAUGUGGCUGUCGUGCCAGGCUAUGUUAUGCUGUUUGUCUUGUUGGAUCAGAAUCAGCUUGAUUGUCCAUGUAUGAGUAGACCUACACACAUAGAGGCUACCAGGAAUUUGACUCUGGUUAUUUUGCUCUCAUUGUACGACGGAAAUAGAAAUGCAGCU